rnacentral:lncRNA from 1 species
AUGUUAAAAACAUUGGGAAUCUCUCUGAAAAGAGUGAAAGACAACUUUUUACUGAUGCAGUGCAGAAUCAGAACUGCCUUUGUAUUAAAGUGGGAGCUUUUACUAAUGUCUGGUAACUUUCAGGUUGUCCUCCAUCUUUGGCUCAUCUCCAUUUACUUGGAUCAGUUGAUGGACCAAUGUGACUUGCAGUCAAAAGACCAAGUGAAGACGCGUAAAACAUUCCUGCUGGAAAAUUCCCAUCUCUAUGUUGGUGAAAGCCAGACUGAAAAUCGAGAGGACAAGAUGUUGCACAAGCAUGGUUGUGAUCGUUUACUUUCGUGGGCAGUUUGA